UUAGCGGCGGACGGGUGAGUAACACGUGGGUAACCUGCCUGUAAGACUGGGAUAACUCCGGGAAACCGGGGCUAAUACCGGAUGCUUGUUUGAACCGCAUGGUUCAAACAUAAAAGGUGGCUUCGGCUACCACUUACAGAUGGACCCGCGGCGCAUUAGCUAGUUGGUGAGGUAAUGGCUCACCAAGGCGACGAUGCGUAGCCGACCUGAGAGGGUGAUCGGCCACACUGGGACUGAGACACGGCCCAGACUCCUACGGGAGGCAGCAGUAGGGAAUCUUCCGCAAUGGACGAAAGUCUGACGGAGCAACGCCGCGUGAGUGAUGAAGGUUUUCGGAUCGUAAAGCUCUGUUGUUAGGGAAGAACAAGUAUCGUUCGAAUAGGGCGGUACCUUGACGGUACCUAACCAAAAAGCCACGGCUAACUACGUGCCAGCAGCCGCGGUAAUACCUAGGUGGCAAGCGUUGUCCGGAAUUAUUGGCCGUAAAGGGCUCGCAGGCGGUUUCUUAAGUCUGAUGUGAAAGCCCCCGGCUCAACCGGGGAGGGUCAUUGGAAACUGGGG
rnacentral:rRNA from 2 species